rnacentral:rRNA from 1 species
CAGCGCGCGUGGGCACUUUGAAUGCACCAGUCCCCUAUGGAUCACUGAAGUUAAACUACGUUGUGUGUGGUUAGUAUCCUGAUGGGUGACCAUCUGGAGUAUCUGGACAAUCGCGUGCUGC